AAAUGAAAUGUUUGCAGCAGACAAUAUCUUGUAAUAUAAUAACAUAUAAAAACUUUCAGGACGCCCCUCAUCAUUCUAGACCUUGGAGCUGCUGUUGCAGCCGUGACAUGGUCACCGUAUAGCAGCAGUGUAUUUGUAGCUGUCACAGACGAUGGCCGUGUACACGUGUAUGAUCUUUUUGUACGUAAAUGUAAGCCACUUUGCGUGCAAACCCUCGUUCAGCGACGGCGGGUGGUUACUGUAUGUGUGGCAUUUAAUCCUUUUCAUCCUAUCAUACUCGUCGGCGGUGAGAAAGGUUACUUAGCAUCCCUCAAGCUUUCUCCAAAUCUGAGGAGGUCACACAGAGACUCCAAAGGACCCGAUCCUCAGGAUCUAAAGGAGAUAGAGUUAUGCAAGAUGGAAAGACUCAUUGCUACAAGUAAUAAAGAUUAGAAAGUGCAACAUGAAGGAGUGUUUGGUCUAUGUUUUCUGGUAUAUUUGAUAUAUGCUUUAGAUACAGUGCCGUUUGUUUGCCAAAACAAACAAACUAAUAUAAAGAAUUAUUUUUUGUUCAAAUGUGCCAGAUAGCAAUAUCUUAAAGACGGUAUAACUGGCAUCGGAAUAUAUAUGUACAAUAAAGUCUAAUUUCAUAAACCAAAAUAGCUUCCGAAGUCGGACCUGUCUGUUUGCUGGGUGUAAUUAUGACCGAAAAUUUGGUUGAACCGUUCUCCUUUAUUUAUAAUUCAUAUUUAUGAAUUCGGAAAAUAUGCACUGCAUACAUGAUCAGUGAUUUCCAUAAUGGCCAUAUCAUUUGUGCCAUAUCAUAUCAUCUUUAAACCAGGACUGAUUAUGGUUUUCAUAUCCAAUCGUUUUAGUUCUAUAUUAUGGUAGAUUAAUGUUACAUUAUUAAUGAUAAAGCAAUAAUAAUAGCAAUAAUAACAAAUGAAGUUAUAUGAAGGUGGAAAUUGUAAAAGACAGCAUAAUGAGGAUUUUUUUUUACAAAACUGUGGCUAACAAACGCAGCUCUGAAUGAGGCAAGGUGACCUACCUCAUUCAUUGCAAGCAGAUUAGUUGCUAAGUGGCUAAAAUCCAAACUUAAAUCAUAGUUAGCAAAUUUAAUAAUGCAGAUUUUCUCUGUAAAGAAUCCUGAUUUUAAAGAUAAGAUUUAUAUCUGCGUUUGAAUAUUAUAUUAUAUAUUAUUGUAAGUUGUCACAAAUUGUUUAAAUCGAGUCAUUAAUUUUGGAUAAUCAUUUACAUACACAAACAGGGUAACAUGAAAUUUCUUUAAGAGAGCUUAAUGUCAGGUCUAAACCAAAGAGCUCUUUCACAUUGUAACGAACUACAUCGAAAAUGAUUGGACUGAUGGAUAAUUAAGACAAUUUACAUUCAAUGUUCAUUUAGGAAAGGGUGUUUUCUAUUGCGCUAGAUAUAUAUAUUUAAAAAAAUCAUCGUCUUACAGGUUUUGGUAAGGCGUCACAAAAGAAGAAAAUCAACUUCAUUCCUAAAUCUUAGUUGUUGUAGAUUGAAUUUCAUUCAGAACGAACAGUGAAUCUUUGAUACACAUUAAAUGUUAGAAAAAACUAGUUCAUUGUAAUUUCUUAUCUCACUAAAUAAUGUAUAUCGUAUAACAAGGUUAAACGAAGUGAACUGACAUCUCGAUCAAUGCUGCCUCAUCUUUGCAUAUAAGAGAAAAUUAACUUUAUUGAAAAAAAAAAUGUAUGCUAUGAAAUAUUUCAAAUUAAAUUGAUAUUGGGUUGGCUCUUUACCCGGCUGGAGCCUGCCUCCCCUGCAGAGUUAAUGCUUCACAAAUGUAUUGUGUAAAAUAUGUACCUAACCUUCACUCAGGGCUCUAGCUAGGGAUAUUUUUUCCAUUCUGGGGGUUAAUUGAAAGAGCAUGAGGGAAGAACAAUUACUUUGAAUGCAUUGGUAUUUAAGUCGCCGAUAAUUAAAGGUAUUAGGGGUGCAACCAGAAUUUGACCAUAUUUCGGAAUGAACAUUCAGGGAAGCAAUACACCUCCCUCAGUAGGCCCUUGCCUCCAAUGCACUUGUAUGUAGCAUGUAGUCAAAUGUAAAAGUUUUCUGCAUUUUCUGUUUUGCAGAUCUAUUUUUAUUGUUACCAAUGUUCACAUAUCCAUUUUUAGGAUCACAGUUAUUAUAUUGCAUAUUAUAGUGUUCAAUAAAUCAAGUAUUACAUUAU
rnacentral:lncRNA from 1 species